ensembl:lncRNA
AUGGGUCUUACUGCGGUACUAGUGGGUCUAUGGGUCUUACUGCAGUACUAGUGGGUCUAUGGGUCUUACUGCAGUACUAGUGGGUCUAUGGGUCUUACCUUCAGUACUAGUGGGUCUAUGGGUCUUACUGCAGUACUAGUGGGUCUAUGGGUCUUACUGCAGUACUAGUGUGGUUCUACAAUCCAUUGAUCUCAUCCUGAGAUGUUUCAUGAUGAUCUCAGACUGAGGUGAUAUUUCUAAUAAUACUGGGUUGGACAUAGUCACCGCAGAGCGGAGGGCACAACUUGGCUUGUUCAACCGGUUAAUUAAUGUGUGAUAACAGAUAUGUGUGAGAUAUCAGACACUCCUGUGGUUGUGUGUGAUUACUUCAUAGUCUGUGGACUCUAGUGGUUAGUCAGGACUUAGAUACUAACUGACAUGGAACAGAGUCCAUUCCCUGACUACAGUGAAAUAGGCCUACCGCCUACUCCGGAGAUAUGCAUUGGCUUGGGACAGUGAUCCCCAGGAAUCUAUUUAAUUAAUGCACACAGCUUUUUCACUAAUAAAAUGUUGAAAAGACUACAUCACUAUUUAUUGUUACCAAUAUGACCAUUAGAAUAACAAAUUCAAACUGCUGUUUCAUCAUGAUAUCUUGUUGCUGUUAAUCUGCAUUAUAAGGCUGCGUUGAGACAAUGACUUAUUAAAGACCCAAGCCCAGCUCAGUUAAUCCCUACCAUUGUGACGCUGAGUUGUCAUAAUGCUUCAGGCAAAUGUACAUUACACCAGGGGUGUUGGUAGACACAAUGUACGUCACCAAAUAUAUGUCCCUCUAACUGCCUGAAAGCCUCUGUUGAUCCUACAGCUAUUGCCUGCAGUAAUCAUGUGCCUAUGAACCAGAGUUACACUAUUAGCACUAAGGAGGUGUGUCCUAGUAGGAAGACCACUGUUAACACUGAGGAGGUGUGUCCUAGUAGGAAGACCACUGUUAACACUGAGGAGGUGUGUCCUAGUAGGAAGACCACUGUUAACACUGAGGUGGUGUGUCCUCGUAGGAAGACCACUGUUAACACUGAGGAGAUGUGUCCUAGUAGGAAGACCACUGUUAGCACUAAGGAGGUGUGUCCUAGUAGGAAGACCACUGUUAACACUGAGGAGAUGUGUCCUAGUAGGAAGACCACUGAGGUGGUGUGUCCCAGUAGGAAGACCACUGUUAACACUGAGGUGUGUCCUAGUAGGAAGACCACUGUUAACACUGAGGAGAUGUGUCCUAGUAGGAAGACCACUGUUAGCACUAAGGAGGUGUGUCCUAGUAGGAAGACCACUGAGGUGGUGUGUCCCAGUAGGAAGACCACUGUUACCACUGAGGAGGUGUGUCCAAUAGGAAGACCACUGUUACCACUGAGGAGGUGUGUCCUAGUAGGAAGACCACUGUUAACACUGAGGUGUGUCCUAGUAGGAAGACCACUGAGGAGGUGUGUCCUAGUAGGAAGACCACUGUUAACACUGAGGAGGUGUGUCCUAGUAGGAAGACCACUGAGGUGGUGUGUCCUAUAGGAAGACCACUUAACACUGAGGAGGUGUGUCCUAGUAGGAAGACCACUGAGGAGGUGUGUCCUAGUAGGAAGACCACUGUUAACACUGAGGAGGUGUGUCCUAGUAGGAAGACCACUGAGGUGGUGUGUCCUAUAGGAAGACCACUGUGUGCAUCUCACCCUGCAUUAAUAAAAAAAAAACACAUGAGUAUGUCUGUCUACCUCUGCUAAGCUUCCCAGUAAAGUAAUAAAAACAACCAAGCAUCCCAGAAAUGUGUUAAAAAUAGCCCGUGGUAAUAUAUGUAGCUUAAGAAACAAGGUUCAUCAAGUCAAUAAUUUGCUAGUAACAGAUUACAUUCAUAAUACCUUAGAUGAUACAGUGGUAGCAAUAGAAGGUUAUAACAUUGACAGAGAAGAUAGAAAUGCCAAAGGUGGAGGUGUUGCUGUUUGUAUUCAGAACCACAUUCCUGUGAAGAAUAGAGAGGAUCUCAUGUUAAAUACUGUUGAAGUAAUAUGGCUACAGGUUCAUCUGCCUCACCUAAAGCCCAUUCUGGUGGGAAGCUGCUAUAGACCACCAAGUGCUAACAGUCAGUAUCUGGAUAACGUGUGAAAUGCUUGAUAAUGUAUGUGACAUCAACAGAGAGGUAUAUUUUCUGGGUGAUUUAAAUAUUGACCAGCUUUCAUCAAGCUGCCCACUCAAGGAAAAGCUUUAAAGUGUAAACAGCACAGGAAUGAAAACAGCAACAUGUAUUGAUGUAUUGAUCACAUCUUUACUGAUGCUGCAGAACUCGGCUCUAAAGCAGCAUCCAGGUCCAUUGGAUGUAGUGAUCACAAUAUAGUAGCCAUAACCAGGAAAACCUAAGUUCCAAAGGCUGGAACUUAUAUAGUGUAUAAGAGGUCAUAUAAGACGUUUUGUUGUGAUUCCUAUGUUGUUGAUGUAAAUCAUAUUUGCUGGUCUGUGGUGUGUAAUGAGGAGCAACCAGACGCUGCUGGUCUGUGGUGUGUAAUGAGGAGCAACCAGACGCUGCUGGUCUGUGG